rnacentral:rRNA from 11 species
CCCUAAAAUAUAAGCAAGUAUCCCAAAGGCACCAAAUGUCAUCUCAUCUUGGAAGCUAAGCAGGAUCCAUCCUGAUUAGUCCUUUAGUGGGAGGCCACUAAUGAAUGUCAAGCACUGUAGGCU